rnacentral:rRNA from 1 species
GAUGAACGCUGGCGGCGUGCCUAAUACAUGCAAGUCGAGCGAACAGACCAGGAGCUUGCUCCUCUGACGUUAGCGGCGGACGGGCGAGUAACACGUGGAUAACCUACCUAUAAGACUGGGAUAACUUCGGGAAACCGGAGCUAAUACCGGAUAAUAUAUUGAACCGCAUGGUUCAAUAGUGAAAGACGGUUUUGCUGUCACUUAUAGAUGGAUCCGCGCCGCAUUAGCUAGUUGGUAAGGUAACGGCUUACCAAGGCAAGGAUGGGUAGCCGACCUGAGAGGGUGAGCGGCCACGCGGGAACGGAGACACGGUCCAGACUCCUGCGGGAGGCAGCAGUAGCGAAUUUUCCGCAAUGGGCGAAAGCCUGACGGAGCACCGCCGCGUGAGUGAUGAAGGUCUUCGGAUCGUAAAACUCUGUUAUUAGGGAAGAACAAAUGUGUAAGUAACUAUGCACGUCUUGACGGUACCUAAUCAGAAAGCCACGGCUAACUACGUG